rnacentral:tRNA from 1 species
AAAGCUUUAGCUUAAUUAAAGUGUCUGUUUUGCAUACAGGAGAUGUGGGUUAAUGUCCCGCAAGUUUUA